CAAGUGAGCAAAAUAUUUGAUAAUAAUGUAAACGCACAGCCGAGUGACGGAAGCGUAUUACAUUAAGAUAAUGAGCCCGAGUGAAGGGACAAAGAAACACGUAAGAUGAUCAGAAUAUGUAUUGGGAGGGGGUGUACUUACACUCGAACCCGGAAAAUGCAAACAUGUAAAAUGAUGUAGACAUGUAUUGGGAGGGGGUGUACUUACACUCGAACCCGAAGAAUAUAAACGUGUAAAAUGAUCAAGAUAUGCAUUGGGAGGUAGUGUACUUACACUCGAACUCGGAAAAUGCAAAUAUGUAAAAUGAUGUAGACAUGUAUUGGGAGGGGGUGUACUUACACUCGAACCCGGAAAAUGCAAAUAUGUAAAAUGAUGUAGACAUGUAUUGGGAGGGGGUGUGCUUACACUCAAACUCGGAAAAUGCAAACAUGUAAAAUGAUGUAGACAUGUAUUGGGAGUGGGUGUACUUACACUCGAACCCGAAGAAUAUAAACAUGUAAAAUGAUCAAGAUAUGCAUUGGGAGGUAGUGUACUUACACUCGAACCCGAAGAAUGCAAAUAAGACUCUUAACGGGCCGAUUUUGUAAAACACCAAAUUUGAGAACAAAGUAGGAAUAUAAAAGCGAAACGAAGUCAUAAUGCAUACCGUAAGGGUUGCAAUAAUAACGACUUCGGUAAAACACCCGGUUGGUGGGUAAGGAUUUAAACACAUGCGUAGACUGAGAAACAGGAACGCGCAUGGAAAGUCAAAAGACUCGGGUUUUGGGUCAUGACCAAAGGACGAUAAGAUAACGGCAAAUAGAAAUUUUGAUGAAUUACGCUCAACUAUUUUAAAGUUGAACGGGUCGAACAAAGAUUGAAGUUUGACAUUUAUAAGUGAUAGAAAUUUUCACACGAACAAGUCAAACAAAAUUUAAAAAAAAAGGAUGACUCUUGCUAAAGUAAGUAAGCACGAAUCAAAAAAAAAAAAAGUGCGAAAUAUUAGUAAACCUAUGUAAAUGAGUUAAAGGUGUUAAAAACAUUAGAAUAAAAGAACCCGGGUAAUGGGACGUAAAGAAGUAUAGGUAAGAAUCGGUUAACAAUAAGUGUAGGGCAAACCGACGUGUAAUUGACGUUAGAAGUCAAGGAGUCGGAAGGAUAAUUCGAAAGAAAACAAUGUAGCCUUAGACUACGGUCAAGGUCAAACGAAAUCCAAAAAGUAAACGUGAAUAAUUCUAAAACAUAAGAGGGGGUGCCUUAAUGCCAUAUGCAUAUAUAAAUGUAUACAUAUUUGAAUAAAGACUUGAAUAAAAGAUGAUCUACGGGAUCAUCAUAACCUGCGGGAUAUGAAUUAAAGCAAAAGGAUCAUAAGGGUCUCACCUUAAAGAGGUGAAAACAUAAGGAAAUAGCCUACGAGGUUAAGUGAAGGAACCUACGGGUCAAUAGUGUAAGGUGAGGGAAUUUGUUACGAUUCCCCGCAUAAAGUAAGAACGGAAAACAAUAAAUUAUGAGUUAUCAAUUUCCUUGAUAUGGAUAAUUGACAAAAGUUAAAAGGAAAAUGCUAAACUAAAACUCCGGUUUUUGCAAGAAAUGACGUUUUUACGAAUAUGAAUUCUGAUAGACGAAUAUGUAAUAGGCAUGAAAGAUAUAAGUCUUGACACUGAUAAGUGCAAGACGAUACAUUUGAAAAGAAAGGUUGGAAUAGACCUAAACAUGACGUGACGCGAUCACGGUCAAGAGAAGUAAUGUGAAGUAAUCAUAUUAUGACCCGAGUGAUGGGUACAAAGUAACUGGACUGAUAAAUCUAGUUAGUGAGAUCGGUUAAGGUCGAAACCCAAAUUAAGAAAUUGUUUAACACGUUAUUCACUACGAAGAGUAAUGUAGAAUAAACAUAAUUUAUAAACCUAUGUGACUAAGUGGCCAACGUUUGGCGACUCGGUCAAGUAAACAACAAAGGUAUAUAGAUCGAAGAGAUAAAGUGACGGCCCAUGAGACCUCACUAACAGAAAAUAUUGAUCACUUAUUUGAGGGAUCAUAAAGCUAUAAGUUCAUGAACAAAAGAAUAGUUGCUAAAAGUGAAAGAUUUCACCAAGGACCUUUAAACGGGUCAAAACGACGGAUUCAUAAAUAAUUUGAUAGUAUAUGAAAGCGAUGAAUAUCGCUAAGUUAACCGGACUAGUGGAAAUAACGAGGUUACGCUAUUUCAAGAUUGCACUAUGUACUAUGAGAUACGUAGACAAUUAGUAACCAAAAGGAUAUUGCCAUACUUUUCUGGUAAUACUAACAAUUAGUCAAAGUAAAAGUAACGUUUAAAAGAUUUCUCGGAUCAAAUGCAUUGAGUUUGAACUCGGUGAAUUAAGCAAGAAAAGGUUUCGAGGACGAAUCCUCUUUAAGGGGGGUAGACUUGUAACACCCCGAAAACAGGUUUGGAAAUUAAACCCCGUUAAUACUAAAGACGGGGAAAGUACCGUUAGCGGUAAAAGUAAACCGGAAAAUAUUAGGAAUCAAGUGAAUAAUCCUAAUAUUGAUUAAAGGUGAAUAAGAGCUUCCAGGAAAAUAGAAUGGAUAAAAGGCCCGAUUUAACGGGACUUAAAAUAAAACGGGUUUUAACUCCCGGAACCCACUAAGUUAACUAGGUAAAAUUAACCUAGUUAGUAAUGAGUAACUAAAAAAUAAACUAUGGGUUAUAGUUUCAUUUAUGAAUCUCUAAACUUGAGGGGCUAAACAUGGGCAACUAGAGAAGUGUUUUAUUAAAACACUUGAAUAAAAAAAACGAAAAGAAAACACACAUACAUGUGUGUAGUAUGCGCGAUCAGAAGAAGGAGCCAGGAGAGAGCUCAAACCCUAGUUCAGCAAAUCCUCCAAAUCGAAGCUCAAAUCAAGCCCGAAUCGUCUGCAUGAUUACAAAUUCGUGAUCGCCUAGUCGUGAGGAUCAUAAGUUGACUCUAAACAAGCUAGGUGGGAGCUUGAAAAGGAACGGGUCAAACGGAUCAUGGAUGCGAAGAAUGUUUGCGCGGACGCGGGGGUAAAACGGCUUAUGGAAUUUACGUGGCUAUGAAUCAGCAAAUUAUUAAGGCAAGGUAUUAAAACGGGUCAAUACUUUGACCCGCACCAGGUACAUUUUGGAUGCCGGAAGACGAUCAAGCUCGACGAAGGACCGAACACAAUAUAGAUACAUGCUUCCGCACUUUAACACUUUGUAAAUUUUAAACAACGAAUUCAACCACGUUAUGUAGAAUAACUUA